AUUGAACGCUGGCGGCAUGCCUUACACAUGCAAGUCGAACGGCAGCACGGGUGCUUGCACCUGGUGGCGAGUGGCGAACGGGUGAGUAAUACAUCGGAACAUGUCCUGUAGUGGGGGAUAGCCCGGCGAAAGCCGGAUUAAUACCGCAUACGAUCUACGGAUGAAAGCGGGGGACCUUCGGGCCUCGCGCUAUAGGGAUGGCCGAUGGCUGAUUAGCUAGUUGGUGGGGUAAAGGCCUACCAAGGCGACGAUCAGUAGCUGGUCUGAGAGGACGACCAGCCACACUGGGACUGAGACACGGCCCAGACUCCUACGGGAGGCAGCAGUGGGGAAUUUUGGACAAAGGGCGAAAGCCUGAUCCAGCAAUGCCGCGUGUGUGAAGAAGGCCUUCGGGUUGUAAAGCACUUUUGUCCGGAAAGAAAUCCUUGGCUCUAAUACAGUCGGGGGAUGACGGUACCGGAAGAAUAAGCACCGGCUAACUACGUG
rnacentral:rRNA from 1 species